rnacentral:rRNA from 1 species
UCGAGAGGCUUCCACAAUGGGGGAAACCCUGAUGGAGCGACGCCGCGUGGGUGAUGAAGGUCUUCGGAUCGUAAAACCCUUUCAGCAGAGAAGAAGUGAUUAAGUAUUAAUACCAUUUAGUCAAAGACGGUAUCUGCAUAAGAAGCUCCGGCUAACUCCGUGCCAGCAGCCGCGGUAAUACGGGGGGAGCAAGCGUUGUUCGGAUUUACUGGGCGUAAAGGGCGUCUAGGCGGAAUAAUAAGUCAGCUGUGAAAUCCCUCGGCUCAACCGGGGAGUUGCAUUUGAUACUGUUAUUCUUGAGUACAAGAGAGGAAAGCGGAAUUCCAGGUGUAGCGGUGAAAUGCGUAGAUAUCUGGAAGAACACCAGUGGCGAAGGCGGCUUUCUGGCUUGUUACUGAC